rnacentral:rRNA from 1 species
UACGUAGGGGGCUAGCGUUGUCCGGAAUCAUUGGGCGUAAAGCGCGUGUAGGCGGUCCGGUAAGUCCGCUGUGAAAGUCGGGGGCUCAACCCUCGAAUGCCGGUGGAUACUGUCGGGCUAGAGUGCGGAAGAGGCGAGUGGAAUUCCUGGUGUAGCGGUGAAAUGCGUAGAGAUCAGGAAGAACACCAACGGCGAAGGCAGCUCGCUGGGACGGAACUGACGCUAAGGCGCGAAAGCGUGGGGAGCGAACAGG